rnacentral:rRNA from 1 species
UGGGGAAUAUUGGACAAUGGGGGGAACCCUGAUCCAGCGAUGCCGCGUGAGUGAAGAAGGCCUUCGGGUCGUAAAGCUCUUUAGGUUGGGAAGAAGGUGAUGAAGUGAUAAAUUUUAUUGCUUGACGGUACUGACUAAAUAAGCACCGGCAAACUCUGUGCCAGCAGCCGCGGUAAUACAGAGGGUGCGAGCGUUAAUCGGAGUUACUGGGCGUAAAGGGCGCGUAGGCGGUGAGAUGAGUGUGAUGUGAAAGCCCUGGGCUUAACCUAGGAAGCGCAUUGCAAACUGUCUUGCUAGAGUAUAUGAGAGGACAGCGGAAUUUCCGGUGUAGCGGUGAAAUGCGUAGAGAUCGGAAGGAACGUCGAUGGCGAAGGCAGCUGUCUGGCAUAAUACUGACGCUGAGGCGCGAAAGCGUGGGUAGCGAACAGGAUUAGAUACCCCCGUAGUCC